AACUCGACGCAUUUCAUUUAUGUCCACAAGGGGGAGACAAUGGAGACAAACAGCUGCAGUUGAUUCCUUUUCUGAACCAUAAAGCCUGAAUGUGUUGCUAAAAGUUAAGAGUUGUCCUCUUACUGCCCUAGUAGAGCCUUUUUUUAAAAUUAUAAAGUAUUACUGGAAGUUUAAGGGGAAAAUGAAUUUGAAUUUCCUGUCACUGAUAACAAGUGAUCCUCCAUGUGGGGGAGUUGGGUAUCUGGGAACUAGAAUUUAGACUUUAUCGUGUUUUUUCUGUUCAACCUUAAAAAGAGAACAACCAAACACACUUAAAAUCUCACCUGCAGUCAGUUUCAAACGUCCAUUUCAGCAGUAUUCCUGUCGUAGGGGUCAGCUGGAGCACAUCUGUAACUAAAAGGAAGGUCAAAAGGCGGUCGAGGAGGAGGGAAAGUCUGUCAAAGCGCAAACGAGAGAAUGAAUGACUGCAAAAGGUGAAAAGAAGAAAAGAGAGUACAACCCCCUGUGAUAAAGCAGUUGGGUUAUCAGGGGCCACAGGGAUGAGAACCUAAGGAAGCUUUGAGAAGAGGAGCCUGAGCAUUUGAUGAGGUCUAGAGGAGCCUCUGUUCAAACACGAGAUGGUGCCAAAAUCAAUCUGUAGCUGGAAGCAGAAAGCUUAACUUUAAGAAACCCUUUUUAAAAUUGUUUUAAAAACUUUAAAAAAAUCUUUUAAGCUUUUAAUUAGGAAUAAACUAUAACUGUCUAGCAGUUUAGUGUACGAGAUGAGCUUCAAAUGGGACAGAGAACUUUAGUUUGAUUUCUUUGUAGUCCAUAUUAACAAGUGUUCAAAUUUGGAUAAGAAGAAAAAACAGUAAAAAAAAAAAAAAAAUGUAGAAACCUAAAAAUGAUGUUUUCCAGCUCUGGCAGGAAGAGGAGCUUCCAGCUAUUAAUUUUUAGGCGCCAUAUUUUUUCUCUGUAGCCAGAUUCUCUUGGAUCAAAGGCCAAAGAAGAGAGGUUAGACCCGCCAGCAGGAAGGAAGAAACGAUAGGAGGACAAAGGGAGAUGGAUGAACUGGGAGGAAAGAAAUGAGAAAUUGGUGUGAAAAGGCUUAAAACAAGCACCUGUCAGAUGCUGACCAAUGAGUCCCAGUUUUUAAAGGAUUUUCAGGGAAAGGAGUCAGAAUUGGGAUGGACAAAGAAAGGAUGAGUUCCAGAUGACCAGUGUUUAGGGAGAAGAAGAAAAAAAAAUACUAUCAGUGAACUUGAAAUGCAAACCUAAAUGAGUUCCCUUCUAGCUUUAGAUGAAUUCCACUUUAAAACAGUUUACACAACUUAGGUAGAAUUGCUACGAUGGAGUUUUAGGGCCACUUUUAAGAAAAAUUUAUUUUUAAAAUUACAACUUUAAAUCUCGUAAAUUUACGCGAAUAAAGUAAUAUAUUUAUGACUUUAAAAGUUAUAGGCUAAAUUUAUUACUUUCUGUCCUCAGUCAUCCAAAACACCUCAAUAUAACAUAUUUUACCAUUAAUUACAUUGUUUGUACCACUAAUAUACUUUACUUUUAUUGACGGAAAUUCUUUCAGUAAAUAUUUUACAGAUUUUGCAGUAAAUUGACACCAUUUGACAUGUUUUGUUUGUCCAGAGCGGGUCUCGAAGGCGCGAGCUUCUGAACGACAUCAAGAGGCCCCCCUCCUCUCCUCUUCCCCCCACAGAGAAGAAUGGAGACCUACAUCGAGCUUGUUCCAAAUGUUACGAUUUUUUCAACCAAUCAAAACACCGGAUUUGUUCCGAUUUUUUGAUUCCACGCCCACUGUGUAGUACCAUGACUGCUGUUUUCCUGCCCAAACAUUUGAUGCUUUAAAUGUUAUUUUAACAAGAAAAAUAGACAGUUUAUAGGAUUUAACGUGUUGUGAAAAAGUAAGCUCACUUUAAUUGCUCCUUUUUAGUCAAAGAUGUGUUAUUAGAUAAUGAAACAGUCGCUUUUUGAAAUUAUUCAUAAACCAGUUUGUGUUCUAUUAAGCUAUUGACAAAGCAGCAGCUCAUAGUAGAAGUUGUCCCAGAAAAAAGGCUAGAAACCAUUAAUAAUGCACUAUUACUGUAAUCCUAUUCAUUCCAAACCAUAAUAAAUUGGUAUCCAUUGAAUUAAGAUCAGUUCAGAAAGUUCAGGUCUCUUAAAACAUCACAUGGAAAGAUGAGAUCAAAAAGAUGAAAAACACAAGAUUAUUUAGGGUUUUUUUUUUGUACUUUUUUAAUCUUUUAGGCAAAUUGUAUCGACAAAAAAAUAAAUAAAAAUCAACCUGCACAUCUACAACAGCACAACAUGACAUUUUUCACGUUUUAUAUUUCAGAUACUAAAACAACAGGUUAAUGCUUUUCGUGUGGAAAAUGUAAAAUGCUGCAAACACGAAAUUAUUUUGAAAUAUCAAAUAAAACCUGUUUAAUAUUUAAAUUCAAAAACAUGAUCACUUGUAUGUCGUUCUUCAUUCUAAUGUGUAGCAAGCUUCCAUGUGUUUGGAGAAAAAAAAACAAUAAUCUGCUUUUCAUUCUUCUGAAGAAACAAACUUCUUUCUCUUCACAUAAAAGCGUUUAGUAAACUUGAACCGAUUAAACUUGUGACUAAACGCUUAUUCAGGAGUUAAAAAUAUAAAAAAAAAAUGUUUGGUAAGCGAUAGAUUCACAGACAUCCGGUAAUAAAAAAAGGCUUUAAUAUUUAUUGAGUUUCUUUUGUCUUUAAAAUGUCAAUUUUAAGUUAUCAAUUCACCUAUUUAUAUAUUUAUUUAACUUAUUAUUUUCUUAGGUUGUUUUUUUUAAAAUAAUCCCAUUUUAACCUUUAUUUUUUUGUAAUACUUGAUCGUUCUUAAGAGAGAGGUUUAUUUUUCGGAUGGUCCUUGAACGUCUCAGGUCACCUGCCGGACUCUCGCAUGCGGGGAAGGUUCGGAUCGGAUCCGCUCUCAGUUGGACUUCAGUGCUUCUCUGUCCAACUUCCCCCGAACUUCCUGAGUCCAAAUGAAGGUGAGGAGAAUAAUUCUGCUCAGCUCUGCUGCACAUGCACCAAACCUCUCAUCUGACCCGACUAGUGUGCCUAGCUCUGGUGCUGGAGAAGAGAAGAUGGUAUCUUCCCACUGACUGCAGUCAGAUGAGCCGACGUUCACAUUUCCGUGGUGAAAUCAGCCGUCACUGGAUUGUUUGUAUGGAACGGGGAAACAGCGACACCAUGUGGCAGACCUACAGCAGGUGGAACGGUGAAACAGCGACACCAUGUGGCGGAUAAAUAACAGCAGAAAUCUGAAGACACUGAAGGAGCAAGGGUGAAGAAAAGGAGGAGAUUCCCUCACUGGAGGCUAAAAUGCAGUCUGCUCAGCAACUUGAUGGAAGAAGAAGAAAAAGGUCAAAGGUGGAACGGUGUAACAGCAACACCAUGUGGCGUACAAAUAACAGGAGCCAGAGCUGGACUUACCACUGUCUAUCUCCUGCUGAAGCUGCUGGUUUAUUAUACCCACUGAGAAAUUAAAUGUCAUGAAGGGCUUUGACCAUCUGAAGGACAUGCUGGUAUCCUGGCUGACCAUCAGGACCCUGAACCUCUUCCUGUGACAGAAGGACAGUUGGCAAACACAAACUAAAGAAGGGUUAACCCUAAACCUGUGAUAUGUAGCAGCUGUUAACACAACUGAUCCAGAAUGUGAAAAUCUUUUAACCAGCCUGGCAUGUAAAAAAGACAUUUUUUUUUUCUUGCUUUUUUUCAAACAAGCAAAAUCUAUGAACAGUUUUGUUGUUAAAGUUGGCUCAUGUAUACAGACAAGUCAACAAACUUUUCCACAAAGAUAUAAUUUCAGCACUUAAAGCAAUCAAUUUCUUGUUAGAAUAAAUUAAAAAUAUGGCACUUGCGUCCAAUUGAAAAGACGGCAGGCAUUACAGUAAAAGGUGGUAGCAGUAUUGAGAAAUUGAAAUAAAUCCGGCCAUUUGAUUGGUUGAAAAAUUAAAACAUUCUCAGUUGGGGGGAUUCUUGGUAUUGUGGGGGAUCUGCUGUGUGCAAUCAACUAUGUUGUUACAAAUCUAAAUGGAAACUUGUUUUAAGAUAAAUCAGUUCUACUUCUUAAAAAAAACCCCAUAAGAUUCUCAUCCAAAAUAUUUGGAUAAAAAAUUGAAAAACUUUGAGAAGUUUUAGUAUGCGUUGUGUCUGCUCUGGUGCAGCAGCUGCAGCUUUGGUGGAUUUCCUCUUUCUGAAGCCGGUGGCUCUGGGCACGCACUCAAGAGGUGGUGGAGCUGUAGAAUCCAGCAGGGGGCUGCUGGGAUUCAGCAACAGAUCGUACUGAUGGCAGUGACCUCUUCUCCUCUGGUAUAUUAUGCAUAUUAUGUAGUUGUAGGGCUGUCAAUGUCUCACCUGAUCCAAGGACAGCCCUUUAGCUGCAGGGACACAGCUGGAGCAGCAGGAAGGAGUCUAGCUUCUUGCUCAGGCACAGUCCUCUCCCACUUUCUUUGCCAACAGGAGAACCUGGAGACGCAGAGAUGCUGGAACUACAACAGGAUCCUCUGGUUCAGCUGAAAUAGCUGAAGUCUGGUCUAAGCCAUUAGCCUGAAGUUCCCACAAACUGCCUCAAUGACGGCCACAUAUAUAUCCAAGACCAGAGACAACAGGUCUUCAGGACCCCCCAGUUCUCGUAGCCGACAGAUGAAGGCUGCAAAUGGCAUCCGCCAGUCAGUUGGCAUCAGGCCAUUUAGCAAGAACAGUGUUCAGUCCAGAAGGCCGCUGGAGUUUUGUAGAAGAAAUGACGGUCUGAAAACAAGAAGCAAAUUUCAACGCAAGUAAAACAGUUCUAGAAACCAUCCUCUUGGGGAAGAAAAUCUCCUUCCCAGGACAGGAAGUGUUUCUCCCUUUCGCAGAAUUGAAGCCUCCUUUAGGCUGUCUCUCCCGUUGCCUGCAGGACAGACAACACGCUGUUUUGUUACAGUCUGGCAGCUGUUUCAAGAGCUAAAAGAACCUAUAAGGAUAAAAGAACUUUCGCACGCUCCAGGCCUUUUGGAGCUCUGACACACCAUCCUCCUGACCACGCUCGUUACCAAGAUUGGUAGCCCUGGGGUCAUGUUAGCUUGAGAUCUCAGUUCCUGUAAGGCACAGGAGAUUGGGCGGGUUCUGCGCAUGAUUUUUGGCGGUGUUCCCUGGUAGGUGUAGCGGCGUUUCCCUAUAGGGGGCUCAUCGCAGGUAUUUUGUUUAGUGUGGAGGUACGGCGGGUAGAGCUUCCCUCUUCCCUUCCCCUACGUCGGCUCGGGAGCACUUCCAUGGUUUCAGGGGGUGAUCAGCUUGUCUGGUUGCUUUUCCGGACCAUCGGGUUCUGAGUGCGUAAAUACCCCCUGCUACGCCUCCCGAAGACUAGGGCUGAGUUAGCUAGUUUUGGGUUAGGCAGUUAGUGGGACACACCUGCUUCCAGAGUGCGCAUUGCUUUUUGUUUUUUGGCACCCCUUUUGCGUGUUUACCACCAUGAACAGUGUGCUACGUUUACAAGGUUGGACACAUGAGAAGUUGCUGAUCAUGAAUCCUUGAGUAUUCCACAGUUCUUCUGUCCACGCUUCUUAUUCCUGGCGCUGCUUCACUUCAAUGUCUUUCCCCUGAAGGCUUGGAAAAAGUGUCUCUUUCUGAGUAAAAAAACAUAGGUGUGGGUUAGUUUUUGACAUUCUAUACUUCUGGUGGAAAAGUUUUUCUAAUCGGACAUGCAACCUUUAAGUAUGUUUGAGAACUGUAUUUAAUGAAAGAUCAAAGGGUGUCAUUCUUGUGCAAUUUGCUGAAGUUCAUUGACCAUUCUUACCAUGAUUGUUAUGCCAUCUCGUCUUGGUUCAUCUUCCUCAUCCAUAUCAAAACUCAUGGCCUCUUCUCCAUGGUCCUCACUUGGUGGCUUUGUUGUCUCUGCCAGGUGUUCAACAGUCAGUGGUUGUGAAGGAGUAUCAAUCAGGACAUUGAUGUCACCAAGAGUCAUAUCAUUAAAGCCAGAUUAUUCACAGCUGUAUCUACCAAAGAGUGAUGGAUCUUAUUUUGAGAGCAUUUGGUCUGCCUUAAAGUCUUUUUGAAAAAAUUUUUUAAUCAUAAUCUUAGGUUACAAAUAAAACAAUAGCCUCUUUUCAACAUACUCAAGCACUGUGUUUGUCUGAUGGUACAGAUACUCCACCCCGAUGAGUGUAGAAAGAGAGCUCAGGUCAUUUUUGUAGACAUGCACCUCUGGCUUAUUUUGUAACACUUCACUUUUGUACCCAGUAAAAAUAUGUAAAAUCCUUAAUCAUCUGAAGACCGAGCACCCUUUCAUCAAUCAGGAACGUCUGGAACAUCAGAUGUCUCUGAUGGAACCAUGUAAACAUCAGCAGUUAGGUUUACAGAUGUGAAAUUGGACAUACGAUCCAAGUUUCCACAUUUACCCUCAAAUUGAGCAAGACCUGCAGUUACCUGGGAUGAACCACUGGAGGUUGAAGGACUCCAGAGAGGCGGAGCCUCUUGCACUGUCAGGCUAAUCCCGCCUUUAGUCAGCCUUCCAGUCUCUGUGUAGAGAUGCACCCGUGGCCAGUCUUGAAUAGAGCUGAGGUGCAGCCUCUAAAUACAAACAUGUAAUCAAAGUUUUACACACAGGCUAACAUGUGGCUCAGCGUUGCCUCUUACUUGUAUUUGAGUACAGCUGGAAACUGGCAGCUGUAGGCAAAGUUUAAACCAAACUUACUGCUCUGUUUCCAGUUCAUCUCCCAUCGCAAAGUUAUUUUCAAACAGAAGAAAAACAGCAAGUUAUCAACAGCCGACACAUCGACGUGUCCAACAUGACAUAUGAAUGCCUCUGUUCUGGUACUCGCACUCUAUGUCAACCACAGCGCUGACCAGCUCUUCAUCCGUGGGCUCCUCUGAUGUUGCAGAGGAAGAAGCUGGUCUGGAGGAGGCUGGACACACCACAGUAACACAUUUUUGUCGACAUGCACCUCUGGCUUAUUUUGUAACACUUCACUUUUGUACCCAGUAAAAAUAUGUAAAAUCCUUAAUCAUCUGAAGACCAAGCACCCUUUGGCUCUUCAAGCUAAAGGUAUGCUUGAGCUGGCCACUGUAGGAGUACAGAGGUGGCAGAUGUUCCUUAGAUGCUGGUCCAGACCUCGUUCCACCUCACCAUUUCAUCAAUCAGUAACGUCUGGAACAUCAGAUGUCUCUGAUGGAACCAUGUAAACAUCAGCAGUUAUGUUUACAGAUGUGAAAUUGCACAUACGAUCCAAGUUUCCACAUUUACCCUCAAAUUGAACAAGACCUGCAGUUACCUGGGAUGAACCACUGGAGGUUGAAGGACUCCAGAGAGGCCGGAGCCUCUUGCACUGUCAGGCUAAACCCGCCUUUAGUCAGCCUUCCAGUCUCUGUGUAGAGCUGCACCCCUGGCCAGUCUUGAAUAGAGCUGAGGUGCAGCCUCUAGGUGCUCCAGAUCUCCUCCAUGUGUAGAGGGUUCAGCAACAGGAUGUCCAGGGUCUCACAUCCUGCCGGGCCGUUGAAGCUGUCUAGAAGGUUCUGAAUGAUGAGCGCCGUUUCCUCAGCUCAACAUGUCUGAUGUCGACAGUGGAGCCCCCACUUCUCGUUGGAAACCCUCUGGAUCACGUCCGCAUCCGUCAGGCCAACUAUCGCAUGCUUAGCCUGAGUGAGAUGGUGGGUAUCUCCAGAGUUCCCCUCGAAGAUGCAAUGAGACAGCUGCCUCAUGAAAGUGGGAUAGAGCUGGUGGCUCUCAUUGGUGACACCUGAUGCAAAGCGUCGCAUCAGGUGCCAGAUGUCCAGUCGAACCACCAGUCGCUCCCACUCCUAAACGAUAAACACCAACAGACUAUUAGGACAGAACUGUGUCUGACACGUCAGCAGUAAUAACAUCAUCAUCGCAAAGUUGAGUUUGUAGCGAAAACAAGGCAGCUGUCUUGGACACGCUGUCUCGACUGCAGCAGUCCCGGUCCAUAUAGAUGAGCUGGGGGGAGGAACCUUGGCGAGUUGAUACCGCCUCAUGAGCCUGGUCGUCACCCUCAGAGCAGGUAAGGACGCUCAUGAGGACCUGACCAUGCUCGUUGCCGACUUUAUUGGCCCAGGCGGCUGAGUCAGAGGCGGCUCCUGCGAGAUUCUUCGUCACCUGAACAUGGAUGUUUUUUUUUAAAUGGAGAUGUUUCCUAAGAACAGACUCAGACUGCUGUGUCAGAAUCCACAAUAGAAAACACUCCCAAACCUUCUUGGUGGAGUCCAUCUUCUGGAUGGACCCGAAGGUGGACUUGAUCCUGGCCUUGUACUCGUCCAGCCAUGUCAGGACGUCGUAGCUGUACACCGUUAGCAGCCAGAUGGGUGACGGCAGAGGGGGCAUAGGUGGAGGAAACUGCCCCCUCACGCUGCCCAAGGUCAGGAACUGCUCGCAGAUGCCAAGGUAGUGGACUGCUUUCCGCAUCCAGGAGUCUGAGUGCUGCUCCCGCAGGGUGUUGUACAGCCGGUUGGCACUGUUGCCCAACGUGCAAGACCUGAGCUGUGCAAUCACCCUCUGGUCACAGGACAGCCUGCAUCGACACAAACACAAAAUAUAAACAUGUAAUCAAAGUUUUACACACAGACUAACAUGUGGCUCAGCGUUGCCUCUUACUUGUAUUUGAGUACAGCUGGAAACUGGCAGCUGUAGGCAAAGUUUAAACCAAACUUACUGCUCUGUUUCCAGUUCAUCUCCCAUGGCAAAGUUAUUUUCAAACAGAAGAAAAACAGCAAGUUAUCAACAGCCGACACAUCGACGUGUCCAACAUGACAUAUGAAUGCAUCUGUUCUGGUACUCGUACUCUAUGUCAACCACAGCGCUGACCAGCUCUUCAUCCGUGGGCUCCUCGGAUGUUGCAGAGGAAGAAGCUGGUCUGGAGGAGGCUGGACACACCACAGUAACACAUGAAAUCGUUAAUCACAUGAAGGGAUCCACUCUGCUCUGACUGUUCAUGUCUAACAUACCCGGAAAUGCUGGCUUGCCCACAAGCUUCUUGACUUUAGCCUGCAUUUCCACCAGAGAGAACGCCGGCCAGAGACAAAAGCAGUGAAUCUAAAAACAAAAAAAAUGUUAAAAGUGAAUUUAAAAGAACACAGGUAAACAAAGUGCAGUGAACAGCUUUAAGACUAAAACAUCAUACCUAUGAGCUGCUGUAGCUGCCACGCCUGGUGGAGCUGAUGCUGAUGCAGAGCUGCUCCUGCUGCUGGUAGA